UACGAAGGGGGCUAGCGUUGUUCGGAAUCACUGGGCGUAAAGGGCGCGUAGGCGGCCUGAUAAGUCGGGGGUGAAAGCCUGUGGCUCAACCACAGAAUUGCCUUCGAUACUGUUAGGCUUGAGACCGGAAGAGGUAAGUGGAACUGCGAGUGUAGAGGUGAAAUUCGUAGAUAUUCGGAAGAACACCAGUGGCGAAGGCGACUUACUGGACACAUAUUGACGCUGAGGUGCGAAAGCGUGGGGAGCAAACAGG
rnacentral:rRNA from 1 species